rnacentral:rRNA from 1 species
UACGUAGGGUGCGAGCGUUAAUCGGAAUUACUGGGCGUAAAGCGUGCGUAGGCGGUUCGUUAAGUUCGUCGUGAAAGCCCCGGGCUCAACCUGGGAAUGGCGAUGGAAACUGGCGGGCUGGAGUAUGGCAGAGGGGGGUGGAAUUCCACGUGUAGCAGUGAAAUGCGUAGAGAUGUGGAGGAACACCGAUGGCGAAGGCAGCCCCCUGGGCUAACACUGACGCUCAUGCACGAAAGCGUGGGGAGCAAACAGG